rnacentral:rRNA from 1 species
AACUUAAAGGAAUUGACGGAAGGGCACCACCAGGGGUGGAGCCUGCGGCUUAAUUUGACUCAACACGGGGAAACUCACCAGGUCCAGACACAACGAGGAUUGACAGAUUGAGAGCUCUUUCUUGAUUUUGUGGGUGGUGGUGCAUGGCCGUUCUUAGUUGGUGGAGUGAUUUGUCUGCUUAAUUGCGAUAACGAACGAGACCUUAACCUGCUAAAUAGCCCGUAUUGCUUUGGCAGUACGCCGGCUUCUUAGAGGGACUAUCGGCUCAAGCCGAUGGAAGUUUGAGGCAAUAACAGGUCUGUGAUGC